AUGGAGUCUUACAGUGUUGCCGGGCUGGAGUGCAAUCAUGUGAUCUUGGCUCACUGCAACCUCCGCCUCCUGGGUUCAAGCGAUUUUCCUGCUUCAGCCUCCCAAGUAGCUGGGAUUACAGGCACCCGCCACCAUGCCUGGCUAAUUUUUUGUAUUUUUAGUCAAGACGGGGUUUCACUCUGUUGGCCAGGCUGGUCUCGAACUUCUGACCUCAUGAUCUGCCCGCCUCGGCCUCCCAAAGUGCUGGGAUUACAGGCGUGAGCCACCUCGUCCGGUCUGCUUAAGUAUUUUCUAUAUGAUAGAAAGUAAAAAUGCUCUGAGAGAAGCAAAACAUAAGGGGCUAUUGGGAGUUCACUGUGAACCCUUCAAAGCCUCCAACGCUGCAGAAUGACAACUAGAAGCUUAUUAAAUAUUUUGAGGGAAUUCUGGCAAGUUCAGAUGUCAGGUUCUCCACGUACGAUUCUACUUGUCAAAUUGCCCAAGAAAUUGCUGAGAAAAUUCAACAACGAAA
rnacentral:sRNA from 1 species